rnacentral:rRNA from 1 species
AGCGAACGCUGGCGGCAGGCCUAAAACAUGCAAGUCGAACGCACCUUCGGGUGAGUGGCGGACGGGUGAGUAACGCGUGGGAACGUGCCCUUUGGUUCGGAACAACUCAGGGAAACUUGAGCUAAUACCGGAUGUGCCCUUCGGGGAAAGAUUUAUCGCCAUUGGAGCGGCCCGCGUUGGAUUAGGUAGUUGGUGGGGUAAAGGCCCACCAAGCCUACGAUCCAUAGCUGGUCUGAGAGGAUGAUCAGCCACAUUGGGACUGAGACACGGCCCAAACUCCUACGGGAGGCAGCAGUUAGGAAUCUUGGGCAAUGGGCGAAAGCCUGACCCAGCCAUGCCGCGUGAAUGAUGAAGGUCCUAGGAUUGUAAAAUUCUUUCACCGGGGAAGAUAAUGACGGUACCCGGAGAAGAAGCUCCGGCUAACUUCGUG